UGCCAGCAGCCAAGGGGGGAAAGCGCUCUCCCUGAGCAAGGACAGAGAAGAGGCCUGACCACAGGGUGAGACAGAGGCAGACAGGCAGGCUUGGGUUCAACACUAUAUAUGUGAGAAAUAAAACAGACAUUGCAACUCUGAAAGACAAGAGUCAGUUUUUAAAAUGCAGUUAUGCUAAGCAGACAGCCAACUCUUCAAGCAAAUUCAUUAUUUUUUCUUCUACAGCAGAUGCUUACAAACAGUGGAUAUUUCCAUUUUUGCAUUUAUAUGCCCAGGAAGAAAGUAACUCAAACCAAGAAGAGGGUUAGCCUGCAAACCCAUCAUUUCCAGAGGUCCCAUAAACAUCAAAGCUGCAAGUUAAGCAUUUGUUAUGAGAUUCAAAUGUAUACUACUAAUCCAUGUGGAUCGGCAACUUCUGCCUGCUUAUACAGGUUGUUAAUCCCCUGGUUUGUGAGGGGGAAAAAAAAAAAAAAACACACCACACUUUGUAUAGGACCAGACUGCUUUUAACAGCUGAUCUCAUAUCACUCCCUCAAAACCUAAACUGGAGUCUUAUCUUAAAUUUUUAAGCUGAAUUUGUAGCAUAUUCUAAAAUCUAAGGUUUGGAAGAUUCAUACCGUCAUGACACUAAUAUUAUAUUGAAGGUUCUAUUAAAGACAUACCUGGACUAAUAUACAAAUCUACUAUAUCACUUUGACUUGGAAUAACAACUCUAUACUAGGCACCAUCAUAAAUAAACAAGCAUCUUACUGCUGAGAUAAACUUAGGUAACAAAGAGAUCUACAAGGGCCAUUAACACCCAAGAACAUACACAAUCACAACACAAACUCACCUGGUGACAGGGAGCAUUCAUUCCCAAACAACAAAUUAACUACUCAGUGAACUUGAUAUUUAAUAACCCUUACAUUUCAUUUUACACAGCAAAUGAGACUACAUGCUGAUGAAUCCUUAAAUGACGGUUAAUAGACAAUACGCUAGGCUAGCUCAUAGAGAAACAAUUCUGCAAGAGCAGAAAGCAUUUAUAUGGAAUGC